GACAGAGGGUGCAAACGUUGUUCGGAAUUACUGGGCGUAAAGCGCACGUAGGCGGAUAUUUAAGUCAGGGGUGAAAUCCCGGGGCUCAACCCCGGAACUGCCUUUGAUACUGGGUAUCUCGAGUCCGAGAGAGGUGAGUGGAAUUCCGAGUGUAGAGGUGAAAUUCGUAGAUAUUCGGAGGAACACCAGUGGCGAAGGCGGCUCACUGGCUCGGUACUGACGCUGAGGUGCGAAAGCGUGGGGAGCAAACAGG
rnacentral:rRNA from 1 species